GAGUUUGAUCUUGGCUCAGGAUGAACGCUAGCGGCAGGCUUAACACAUGCAAGUCGAGGGGUAUAGUAGCAAUACUAGAGACCGGCGCACGGGUGCGUAACGCGUAUGCAACCUACCUUUUACAGAGGGAUAGCCCAGAGAAAUUUGGAUUAAUACCUCAUAGUAUAAUUGAAUGGCAUCAUUUAAUUAUUAAAGUCACAACGGUAAAAGAUGGGCAUGCGUCCCAUUAGCUAGAUGGUAAGGUAACGGCUUACCAUGGCAACGAUGGGUAGGGGUCCUGAGAGGGAGAUCCCCCACACUGGUACUGAGACACGGACCAGACUCCUACGGGAGGCAGCAGUGAGGAAUAUCGGUCAAUGGGCGCAAGCCUGGACCAGCCAUGCCGCGUGCAGGAUGACGGUCCUAUGGAUUGUAAACUGCUUUUGCACAGGAAGAAACACUCGGACGUGUCCGAGCUUGACGGUACUGUGAGAAUAAGGAUCGGGCUAACUCCGUGCCAGCAGCCGCCGUAAAG
rnacentral:rRNA from 1 species